rnacentral:misc_RNA from 1 species
AAAUUUCUGGCUGGGACCCGGUGGGUGGGGUCUUAAUGGGGUUGCUCCACCUAGUGGGCGUCUGCCUCAGCAGCCUGUAGCUCUUCGAUGGGUUGGU